UACGUAGGGGGCAAGCGUUGUCCGGAUUUAUUGGGCGUAAAGAGCGUGUAGGCGGCCAAGCAGGUCAGCUGUGAAAACUCGAGGCUCAACCUCGAGACGUCGGUUGAAACCGCUUGGCUAGAGUCCGGAAGAGGAGAGUGGAAUUCCCGGUGUAGCGGUGAAAUGCGCAGAUAUCGGGAAGAACACCUAUGGCGAAGGCAGCUCUCUGGGACGGUACUGACGCUGAGGCGCGAAAGCGUGGGGAGCAAACGGG
rnacentral:rRNA from 1 species